rnacentral:lncRNA from 1 species
UACUACACAAACAUAUUAAGAUAUCUAAACCGACCAUCCGACCGUCGCUAGCAUAAGUGAUAAAGAAUUUAAUUAUUGAUAUUCGAGAUUUCAAAUUCGAAACAUAGUUGAUUCACAUUUUCAGCUAAAUUUAUUUUUAAAUAAAAUAAAUAAGACGGAUAGCAUGCUAUCUAUUUUAAAAAAAACACACAGUUUAGUAUUUCGUAAUUUAAAACAUAUCAAUUUAGUACCCUAAACACAGUUUAAUAUUUCGUAAUUUAAAAUAGAAUUAGGCUGGUAUACUAUCGGUAGCACGGAGGUUUCCUUGCUACCAAGUUGUUUUCAAUGAUGCGGCUUCCAAAUCGACGAUCGGUUCCGUUCGACUUGAUCUACACUAUUAAAAAUGUUUGGAAACUAAAUUUCAUAAUUUUUCGACAUCAUUUGGCUAGUGAUCAAAGGUCUCAAAAUUGAUAAUUUUAAUGAUAGAUGUGAUGCGUUUAUGAAUUUAACGGUGUAAAACAAUUCAAAUCUAAUGAAAUUUUUAUAGAAAAUUCUUUUCACUAUUUAGAGUAAAAUCAGUACCUCUGAUCUUAAAUUCAAGUCUUUUAUCAUCAUUUUUUAGGAUAUUUUUAUUUUCAGCUGUUCAUUUUUAGACUACUCGUUUGAUAGAUAAAUGAUGGUAAAAAUUUAUGAAAUUUAAUUUUUAAGUACUUUCAAUAGUGUAGAUCAAGUCUAACGGAGCCGAUCGUCGAUUUGAAAGUCGCAUCAUUGAAAACAACUUGGUAGAAUGGAGGCCUCCGUGCUACCGAUAGUAUACCAGCCUAGCUCUUUAAAAUAUAGCAAUUAAGUACCCUAUGAUUUCAUUGCAGAUAGCAUGCCAUUUAUCUCUAAAAAAAAUCAUAUUUAAAAUAUGGAUAAACUUCAAAUAUUAUCUUUGUAGUUUCGCACUUUCUCACUUUAGUAUUUCGUAAUUUAAAAUAUAUCAAUUUAGUACCCUAUGGUUUCUUUUUUUUUUUCGCCAGCUUCUCCGUUAGCAUUUCGUUAAAUUAUAUACAAAAAAGUUCUGAUAGCCCAUUUAGGUUUAUCGAAUACUCAUUUUAAUACAUUUUAUUUUUAACUUUGUCACUAAUUUUAAAAAAAAUAGUGAAGGAGAUAAUAAAAAAAAAUAAAACAACGGGGUACUAAAUUAAUACACUUUAAGAUAUAGGGUACUAAAAUAAAAAAGUACGAAACCACAUGGAUGGUAUUUGAAGUUUUUCCUUAAAAUAUCUCUGAGGUCAAAUUAUUAACUUUAAUUAUUAUUUAUUUAGCAAUCAAAAAAAUUUAAAACUUAAUUAUUUUAAUGAUCUAUAUGCGGUAAUUAUAAGUUUAACGGUAUAGAAAUAUAGAAGUUACAUAAAAUUUUGAUAGAAUAAUUAUUUUACUAUCUAAAAUAAGAUAAGUAUAAAUAAUAGCGAAAAAUAAUAAAAUUUGGCUUCUAGAUUUUUUAAAUAGUAUAAAUCAAAUUAAACAGAACAGAUUGUUAAUUUUAAUAUUCUAUCAUCGAAAACAAAUAAAAA